GACGAACGCUGGCGGCGUGCCUAAUACAUGCAAGUCGAACGCACUCUCGUUAGAUUGAAGAAGCUUGCUUCUGAUUGAUAACAUUUGAGUGAGUGGCGGACGGGUGAGUAACACGUGGGUAACCUGCCCUAAAGUGGGGGAUAACAUUUGGGAACAGAUGCUAAUACCGCAUAAAACCUAGCACCGCAUGGUGCAAGGUUGAAAGAUGGUUUCGGCUAUCACUUUAGGAUGGACCCGCGGUGCAUUAGUUAGUUGGUGAGGUAAAGGCUCACCAAGACCGUGAUGCAUAGCCGACCUGAGAGGGUAAUCGGCCACACUGGGACUGAGACACGGCCCAGACUCCUACGGGAGGCAGCAGUAGGGAAUCUUCCACAAUGGACGAAAGUCUGAUGGAGCAACGCCGCGUGAGUGAAGAAGGUUUUCGGAUCGUAAAACUCUGUUGUUGGAGAAGAACGUAUUUGAUAGUAACUGAUCAGGUAGUGACGGUAUCCAACCAGAAAGCCACGGCUAACUACGUG
rnacentral:rRNA from 1 species